AAGAUAGGACCGGUCUACCCGGGAUGUUCAUAACCCUUUGUUGUCCGACUCUGUUGCCUCCGGGGCGACCCUGCCUUCGGGCGGGGGCUCCGGGUGGACACUUCAAACUCUUGCGUAACUUUGCAGUCUGAGUAAACUUAAUUAAUAAAUUAAAACUUUUAACAACGGAUCUCUUGGUUCUGGCAUCGAUGAAGAACGCAGCGAAAUGCGAUAAGUAAUGUGAAUUGCAGAAUUCAGUGAAUCAUCGAAUCUUUGAACGCACAUUGCGCCCCCUGGUAUUCCGGGGGGCAUGCCUGUUCGAGCGUCAUUUCACCACUCAAGCCUCGCUUGGUAUUGGGCAACGCGGUCCGCCGCGUGCCUCAAAUCGACCGGCUGGGUCUUCUGUCCCCUAAGCGUUGUGGAAACUAUUCGCUAAAGGGUGUUCGGGAGGCUACGCCGUAAAACAACCCCAUUUCUAAGGUUGACCUCGGAUCAGGUAGGGAUACCCGCUGAACUUAAGCAUAUCAAUAGCCGGAGGAAAA
rnacentral:rRNA from 1 species